GAGGGUAUAGCUUAGUGGUAGAGUGUGUGUUUAGCAUGCAUGAGGUCCUGGGUUCAAUCCUCAGUACCUCCU
rnacentral:tRNA from 1 species